rnacentral:rRNA from 1 species
AGAGGGGGACAACAGUUGGAAACGACUGCUAAUACCGCAUAAGCCCACGACCCGGCAUCGGGAAGAGGGAAAAGGAGCAAUCCGCUUUGAGAUGGCCUCGCGUCCGAUUAGCUAGUUGGUGAGGUAACGGCCCACCAAGGCAACGAUCGGUAGCCGGACUGAGAGGCUGAACGGCCACAUUGGGACUGAGACACGGCCCAGACUCCUACGGGAGGCAGCAGUGGGGAAUAUUGCACAAUGGGGGAAACCCUGAUGCAGCGACGCCGCGUGGAGGAAGAAGGUCUUCGGAUUGUAAACUCCUGUUGUUGAGGAAGAUAAUGACGGUACUCAACAAGGAAGUGACGGCUAACUACGUGCCAGCAGCCGCGGUAAAACGUAGGUCACAAGCGUUGUCCGGAAUUACUGGGUGUAAAGGGAGCGCAGGCGGGAAGACAAGUUGGAAGUGAAAUCCAUGGGCUCAACCCAUGAACUGCUUUCAAAACUGUUUUUCUUGAGUAGUGCAGAGGUAGGCGGAAUUCCCGGUGUAGCGGUGGAAUGCGUAGAUAUCGGGAGGAACACCAGUGGCGAAGGCGGCCUACUGGGCACCAACUGACGCUGAGGCUCGAAAGUGUGGGUAGCAAACAGGAUUAGAUACCCUGGUAGUCCACACCGUAAACGA